rnacentral:rRNA from 1 species
AAAACUUUCAACAACGGAUCUCUUGGUUCUGGCAUCGAUGAAGAACGCAGCGAAAUGCGAUAAGUAAUGUGAAUUGCAGAAUUCAGUGAAUCAUCGAAUUUUUGAACGCAUAUU